CCCUUAGAUGUUCUGGGCUGCACUCGUGCUACACUGGCAGGUUCAGCGAGCUUCAUGCCCUGAUCUGAAAGGAAUGGGAAAUCUUUUCAAAACCUGCCGUGCUUGGGAUAGAUGUUUGCAAUUAUUCAUCUUCAACGAGGAUUGCCUUGUAAGCGCACGUCAUCAGCGUGCAUUGAAUACGACCCUGUAUUCUGUACACACCGCCCGUCGCUCCUACCGAUUGAAGUUUUCGGUGAGUUGACAGGAGGAUUUUUUUGAAACUGGUUCGCCAGUGGAUUUUAGAUCCAAAUGCCAACGAAUCGAUGGCUUUAGAGGAAGGAGAAGUCGUAACA
rnacentral:rRNA from 1 species